AGUGAACGCUGGCGGUAGGCCUAACACAUGCAAGCCGAACGGCAGCACAGUAAGAGCUUGCUCUUACGGGUGGCGAGUGGCGGACGGGUGGGGAAUACAUCGGAAUCUACUUUUUCGUGGGGGAUAACGUAGGGAAACUUACGCUAAUACCGCAUACGACCUACGGGUGAAAGCAGGGGAUCUUCGGACCUUGCGCGAUUGAAUGAGCCGAUGUCGGAUUAGCUAGUUGGCGGGGUAAAGGCCCACCAAGGCGACGAUCCGUAGCUGGUCUGAGAGGAUGAUCAGCCACACUGGAACUGAGACACGGUCCAGACUCCUACGGGAGGCAGCAGUGGGGAAUAUUGGACAAUGGGCGCAAGCCUGAUCCAGCCAUACCGCGUGGGUGAAGAAGGCCUUCGGGUUGUAAAGCCCUUUUGUUGGGAAAGAAAAGCAGCAGGUUAAUACCCCGCUGUUCUGACGGUACCCAAAGAAUAAGCACCGGCUAACUUCGUG
rnacentral:rRNA from 1 species